UGCACACAUUACUGUAAGUUGCUUUGGAUAAAAGUGUCUGCAAAAUGGCAUAUA
rfam:Salmo salar isolate Sally breed double haploid chromosome ssa10, whole genome shotgun sequence.